rnacentral:pre_miRNA from 1 species
ACCAUCCGUAGACCGUCGGUCUACCGGGCAAUAUUACCCGCUCACUGGAAGAUCUUCCCUUUGUCCU